rnacentral:tRNA from 1 species
GGGUGGUUAGCUCAGUGGUUUAGAGCGUUUGCCUUACAAGCAAAAUGUCACUAGUUCGAAUCUAGUACCACCCA